rnacentral:rRNA from 1 species
UACGUAGGGUGCGAGCGUUAAUCGGAAUUACUGGGCGUAAAGCGUGCGUAGGCGGUUCUUUAAGUCAGCUGUGAAAGCCCCGGGCUCAACCUGGGAAUUGCGGUUGAAACUGGCGAACUAGAAUCUGGCAGAGGGGGGUGGAAUUCCACGUGUAGCAGUGAAAUGCGUAGAGAUGUGGAGGAACACCGAUGGCGAAGGCAGCCCCCUGGGCUGAGAUUGACGCUCAGGCACGAAAGCGUGGGGAGCAAACAGG